rnacentral:rRNA from 1 species
UGCCAGCAGCCGCGGUAAUACGGAGGGUGCAAACGUUGUUCGGAAUCACUGGGCAUAAAGCGCACGUAGGCGGUCCAGUCAAUCAGGUGUGAAAGCCCCCGGCUCAACCGGGGAACUGCACUUGAUACUGCUGGACUUGAGAGUGGAAGGGGUGAGCGGAACUCCAGGUGGAGCGGUGAAAUGCGUAGAUAUCUGGAGGAACACCGGUGGCGAAAGCGGCUCACUGGCCCACAUCUGACGCUGAGGUGCGAAAGCUAGGGUAGCGAACGGGAUUAGAUA